CUCAAUUUCUCCGUCUAUAAAACAAGUAUAAUACUCUAGGACUUGCAAGGUCGUUGUGAGGAUUAAAGAUCUGUCUGUAAAUUCCCUGCCACAUGAUUCUUUCUGGGCAGCUGAUUUUGCUAAAUCUCAUCUAGGACCAGUUGAAAGCUUUAGAAACUGUCAACACAGAAAAUAUGAUCACUCACUUUGGGAGAAGCCAGCCACCAUGUUGAGCCAUCCUAUGGAGAGACCAUGGAGUAAAGAACUUAGGCUGAAAGUCAACAGCUGUAUGAGUGAGCCAUCUCAGAAGGGGAUCCUCUAGCCCCAGUCGAGCUUUUAGAUGACUGCAGCCCUUGCACACAUCUUGACUGAAACCUCAUUCGAGAUGCUGAGCUAGAAACAUCCAGCUAAGCUACCCUCAAAUUCCUGACCCACAGAAUUUGUGUGUUGAAAAGUUGUAUGAGGCCACUGUCUUGUGCCAAUGAGAAGCUAAUUGUGAUGAUGGGAAGGCAUCAGGCAGGGGUGGCUAAGCAUAAGGACAGAAAGCACCUAGAGCCAUGGAGGCAGCCUGAGUGGUGGCAUUGAACCUGCAGUGCCUUGUUCCAAUCUCAUUAGGAAACUAGAAAGAAUAUGCUUCUCCAAAAUGAGGGAGUAAACCAAAAAAGAGAAAGACAUGGAAUCCAGUACACAAGAACCUCCCUUAGGAGAGGAAGACAUGAAGUCAGUAGACAAGACAUCCUUCAAAAAAGGAAGACAUGGAAUCCAGUAGACAAGACCAGACCUCUAUCACGAGGGAAGGCAGAGCCCUGUAUUUCCUUGGGAAACUACCCCACCCCACUUUUAGUACUCAUUGUUUGGGUGCACCUGACCACGCCCCAAGUUCAAGAAAUGAUCAUAUGCUAUUGGCUUACACUGAUCAACAUAAGUACCACCAUAAGUAGCAAUGAUUCUGGCUACGGUGAUUGGCGCAAGGAUGAAAGAAGGAAUCAAGUUAACCCAAACAGCAUAUAUCCCAGAACCUUUGGGAGAGUUUAUAGCAAAAGAAGUGUUUUCCAUCUUGGGACUGUGAAGACAUAAGCCUGAAACUCCUGGGAACAGAUGGGGCACACCUGACCCAAUGAACAGAACAAGGAGAUGGAGCAAGACAGCUUCCUAAAACCUAUUCCGAGCAUCUGAAUUCAGCCAUGCUAGAUGUUACAUCUACUCAUGGAUUUUAAAUCUACAAGAGAUGAACAGACUUGUUACUUUCCACUGACUGGCAGCAAUGGCAUUUACCGAAAGAGUCAAAAGCAGCAGCAGCAGCAGCAGCAGCAGCAGCAGCAGCAGCAGGUAACAACUGUGAAAUCCCUGAUUCAAAGAUGCGACAGUAUUUAAGUUUAUAAUCUAUGUUUCAAAGAAUAAGCUUGAUCUUUUUCGUUUUUGCAAUGCAAUAAAAUAUGUGAAAAUGUCAGUUUUCUCUACAGGAAGCCAAACCUCUUAGACUGGCUACAUAUUUUCUUUAAAUCUAAUACUCUCCCAGCCUCAUAACUCCUUUCUUUAACAUGUGGAUGUUAUAUAUAGUAGAUCAGCAUCCUAAUUCUGUGUUCAAGAUACUGGUCCAUAUUCCACUGAUCUGGAGAAAUGAGCACCUAUUCAGCCUGUGCUGAAACAAGUAUGAGAUCUACCUUAUCAUGGGAGCUUCAAAGGAGGGAAUUCUGUCAGUUACAUUUUAUUUACUUUCACAUCUCUCCCUCCAAGUGUGCACAUACAGUUAACUUCCUUCUUGCAUAUACUAUGGGGUCAGGGUUGAUUGAGGGGAGCAUGUUAACAUUCUGAAGCAGUUAUUAAGAAUAAUUCAUUUGAUAGCCAGAAGGCAUUCUUAAUAUCACCGAUCAGUUUUUUUUUUUUAUAUACUGUUAGAUAUUCCAAAACAUAUUAAAGUAUGAGACAUGUAGACUCAGACUUACUCAGCUGAUAUUUAUUGAGAGGCAGAUGAUGGUGCAUGCAAUUCUGCAAGGUCCUGCCUGGAUGCUUUCCCACUUCCCCUUUCUGGUUCAAUUAGGAAACUUGUCCUCCAUUCCAGGUGGCCCUGGUGGGACUGUUGUUAAACUUGGUGCACUGUCCUCCCCCACAGAGGAAGGCAUGUGACCCAGGCUGCAACAAUUCAUGUUCUGCUAGAGCUGGGGGAAGCUAUUGUCAUCUGUCUUUAGGCUUGUCCUUGUGUUCGGUUACACAUAAGUUUUAAAUUUGUAUGUAGUUAAAUGUCUUGUCCUUUAUGGAUUCUGGUUUUGAUUGUGCUUAGAAAGGUCUUUCCAACUCCAAGAUUGUGAAAAUAAUGUCAUGUGUUCUCUGCUGGCACUUCAGUGGUUUCAUUUUUUGCAUUUAAAUCAGAACUUGUGAGCUGGUGGCCUAUGGGACAGAUCUGGUCAACAGAUGGGUUUUGUUUGGCCCCUCACAGUGUUCUAAAAAAAUAUAUCUGCCAAUGUUUUUUACAUAACAAUCUAGACUUCCAUCUUCUCUUUAAAAAUUUAAGAUUUAACAACAUUGGGCUUGCAUUGCUAUAUCGCAGCACUCAGAUACAGUCAAAUGGCUGUUGCUCUUUUAGAUAAGGCCAUGAGCUUAGACAAGUUCUAAUUCAGAACUUACCAAAUGGUAUGCCAUCAGUACUUUUCAGGUGUGCCAACAGGUUCGUCCCCUCAGCCUGCCAGUCAGCCAGAACUCCAGGAUUCCCACCUGCAUUCCCCCUGCAGACUUCUGCUUUGUCGGGAUUCCCCAGAAAGACUUGAUGUAAAAAAAAAAAAAAAAAAAAGAAGAAGAAG